UACGAAGGGUGCAAGCGUUAAUCGGAAUUACUGGGCGUAAAGCGUGCGUAGAUGGUUCAUUAAGUCGGAUGUGAAAGCCCCGGGCUCAACCUGGGAACUGCAUCCGAUACUGGUGGACUAGAGUGCGGUAGAGGAUGGCGGAAUUCCCGGUGUAGCGGUGAAAUGCGUAGAGAUCGGGAGGAACAUCCGUGGCGAAGGCGGCCAUCUGGACCAGCACUGACGUUGAGGCACGAAAGCGUGGGGAGCAAACAGG
rnacentral:rRNA from 3 species